rnacentral:rRNA from 1 species
GCAGUCGAACGCUUUUUCUUUCACCGGAGCUUGCUCCACCGAAAGAAAAAGAGUGGCGAACGGGUGAGUAACACGUGGGUAACCUGCCCAUCAGAAGGGGAUAACACUUGGAAACAGGUGCUAAUACCGUAUAACACUAUUUUCCGCAUGGAAGAAAGUUGAAAGGCGCUUUUGCGUCACUGAUGGAUGGACCCGCGGUGCAUUAGCUAGUUGGUGAGGUAACGGCUCACCAAGGCAACGAUGCAUAGCCGACCUGAGAGGGUGAUCGGCCACACUGGGACUGAGACACGGCCCAGACUCCUACGGGAGGCAGCAGUAGGGAAUCUUCGGCAAUGGACGAAAGUCUGACCGAGCAACGCCGCGUGAGUGAAGAAGGUUUUCGGAUCGUAAAACUCUGUUGUUAGAGAAGAACAAGGAUGAGAGUAAAAUGUUCAUCCCUUGACGGUAUCUAACCAGAAAGCCACGGCUAACUACGUGCCAGCAGCCGCGGUAAUACGUAGGUGGCAAGCGUUGUCCGGAUUUAUUGGGCGUAAAGCGAGCGCAGGCGGUUUCUUAAGUCUGAUGUGAAAGCCCCCGGCUCAACCGGGGAGGGUCAUUGGAAACUGGGAGACUUGAGUGCAGAAGAGGAGAGUGGAAUUCCAUGUGUAGCGGUGAAAUGCGUAGAUAUAUGGAGGAACACCAGUGGCGAAGGCGGCUCUCUGGUCUGUAACUGACGCUGAGGCUCGAAAGCGUGGGGAGCGAACAGGAUUAGAUACCCUGGUAGUCC